rnacentral:lncRNA from 1 species
AAAGAACCUUUCUAUUUGUCUCUUUAAAUUUGAACUUAGAUCACCGACUUUUUCCUAGCGUAAGUGACAAAGAACUUGAUGGUUGGUACUCGAGACUCUAAGUUCGAAGACUAGUUGCUUCAUAUAUAUUUCCAGCUAAAUUUAUUUGGAAAAAAUAAUAAAUAAAACGAAGAGCAGGCUUUCUUUCUCUCUGAAAAAAAAUAAACUUAGAUUUUAAAAAUUAAUCCGAACCCUUUUAAU